CUGGUUGAUCCUGCCAGUAGUCAUAUGCUUGUCUCAAAGAUUAAGCCAUGCAUGUCUAAGUAUAAACUGCUUAUACUGUGAAACUGCGAAUGGCUCAUUAAAACAGUUAUAGUUUAUUUGAUAAUCGAAUUUACAUGGAUAACCGUGGUAAUUCUAGAGCUAAUACAUGCUGGUUAGCCUGACUUUUAGGAAGGGCUGUAUUUAUUAGAUAACAAACCAAUAUUCCUUGUGUCUAUUGUGACGACUCAUAAUAACUGAUCGGAUCGCAUGGGCUUUGCCCGCGACAAAUCAUUCAAGUUUCUGCCCCAUCAGCUUUCGAUGGUAGUGUAUUGGACUACCAUGGCUUUAACGGGUAACGGAGGAUUAGGGUUCGAUUCCGGAGAGGGAGCCUGAGAAACGGCUACCACAUCUAAGGAAGGCAGCAGGCGCGUAAAUUACCCAAUCGCGACUCGCGGAGGUAGUGACAAGAAAUAACGGACCGAAGCCUAUGUUUCGGGAUUGCAAUGAGUAGAAUUUAAACCCCUUUACGAGGAUCAAUUGGAGGGCAAGUCUGGU
rnacentral:rRNA from 1 species